AUGAACGCUAGCUACAGGCUUAACACAUGCAAGUCGAGGGGCAGCAUGGUCUUAGCUUGCUAAGGCCGAUGGCGACCGGCGCACGGGUGAGUAACACGUAUCCAACCUGCCGUCUACUCUUGGACAGCCUUCUGAAAGGAAGAUUAAUACAAGAUGGCAUCAUGAGUCCACAUGUUCACAUGAUUAAAGGUAUUCCGGUAGACGAUGGGGAUGCGUUCCAUUAGAUAGUAGGCGGGGUAACGGCCCACCUAGUCUUCGAUGGAUAGGGGUUCUGAGAGGAAGGUCCCCCACAUUGGAACUGAGACACGGUCCAAACUCCUACGGGAGGCAGCAGUGAGGAAUAUUGGUCAAUGGGCGAGAGCCUGAACCAGCCAAGUAGCGUGAAGGAUGACUGCCCUAUGGGUUGUAAACUUCUUUUAUAAAGGAAUAAAGUCGGGUAUGCAUACCCGUUUGCAUGUACUUUAUGAAUAAGGAUCGGCUAACUCCGUGCCAGCAGCCGCGGUAAUACGGAGGAUCCGAGCGUUAUCCGGAUUUAUUGGGUUUAAAGGGAGCGUAGAUGGAUGUUUAAGUCAGUUGUGAAAGUUUGCGGCUCAACCGUAAAAUUGCAGUUGAUACUGGAUAUCUUGAGUGCAGUUGAGGCAGGCGGAAUUCGUGGUGUAGCGGUGAAAUGCUUAGAUAUCACGAAGAACUCCGAUUGCGAAGGCAGCCUGCUAAGCUGCAACUGACAUUGAGGCUCGAAAGUGUGGGUAUCAAACAGGAUUAGAUACCCUGGUAGUCCACACGGUAAACGAUGAAUACUCGCUGUUUGCGAUAUACAGCAAGCGGCCAAGCGAAAGCGUUAAGUAUUCCACCUGGGGAGUACGCCGGCAACGGUGAAACUCAAAGGAAUUGACGGGGGCCCGCACAAGCGGUGGAGCAUGUGGUUUAAUUCGAAGCAACGCGAAGAACCUUACCAAGUCUUGACAUCCUUCUGACCGGUACUUAAUCGUACCUUCUCUUCGGAGCAGGAGUGACAGGUGGUGCAUGGUUGUCGUCAGCUCGUGCCGUGAGGUGUCGGCUUAAGUGCCAUAACGAGCGCAACCCUUGUUGUCAGUUACUAACAGGUUCUGCUGAGGACUCUGACAAGACUGCCAUCGUAAGAUGUGAGGAAGGUGGGGAUGACGUCAAAUCAGCACGGCCCUUACGUCCGGGGCUACACACGUGUUACAAUGGGGGGUACAGAGGGCCGCUACCACGCGAGUGGAUGCCAAUCCCCAAAACCUCUCUCAGUUCGGACUGGAGUCUGCAACCCGACUCCACGAAGCUGGAUUCGCUAGUAAUCGCGCAUCAGCCACGGCGCGGUGAAUACGUUCCCGGGCCUUGUACACACCGCCCGUCAAGCCAUGGGAGCCGGGGGUACCUGAAGUGCGUAACCGCGAGGAGCGCCCUAGGGUAAAACUGGUGACUGGGGCU
rnacentral:rRNA from 1 species